rnacentral:lncRNA from 1 species
UUGUUCCUCAGCCUUCAUCCCACUCAGUUACAAAAUUACAUGAGAGGCUAGAUAAGCUUAUUCCCUAGCCCUUUUUUAAGGUUCAAAUGUUACUACAUUUUAUAAGAAAAUACAGUUUUUGAAUCAACCCUCGGAGGCUCCAGCCUUCAGGAGACACUGGAAUUGUCCAUGGGCUACUUGGCUACGGGAGUUCUAUUUCGAAAAUGCUGAACCCAGACAGAGAGGCAGACUGUUUGACCUGGAAGCCGGCUCUGACACAGGCCUGGGGCCGCCUCAGAUCACUGUGUGAGUGGAAGGGGCCAAGUGAGUGUUCAUUUGACUUCUGCUACUGAACGAAUUAUGCCAAGGCUUUUUACAUCCUACGCCAAGGUGGGCUUCACGAGCCAAAAACACAGGUGCACAGAAGAAAGGGGACCACCGGUACAGCAGGCUUUAAUCUGACACAGUCCACAAGGCGUCUGUGCAGGGCGUGGUCCAGCACCAUCGCUGUAGUUCAAAGAACAGCAAAGGCUGGGACACAAAUCCUUUUGUCGGCUACACAGCCAUCCCUUCCGGAUCCCAGGGCCUCACACUCCUAACCCGCAGCUCACCCAGGACCCAGGAGGCACAUGCAGGAAAUGCCGGUAAACAGCUUGGCCACAUGGCUGGAGGAUCGUCAUGGGUUUUGAAGCAGAGAUUUUUCAUAGGUCAGGCAUUAGAUAAAAAUGAUGACCUUAUUUUGAAAAACACAAUGUAUUGGAACUUCAAAGGGUUUCCAUCAAUAUUCAAGGAUGAUUCUUUCAGGAUAUAACAAAAUUUACAAGAUAAGGAGACAGUGAAUCACUGAGCUGAUUCAUCUAUUGACUUCAAGAGCAAGUUGGAAACCUGUGUUUUAAUGCAAUAUAGGUAAGGCAGUGUGCCCAGUGACCCAAAAUUAACCUCAAAUUCAAUCAUAAACUUCAAAACCAGAGCCACCCCCAGUGCACCCAUGGUUCAGUGUGACUCUGCAAAGCUGCCACCCAGUUCAGAUGUGAGCAAUGCGACCUGGCUGUGGCGCCCCUGACCCCAAGUCUGCACCAACCUGUCGUCCAGGUAGGAGGGGCUGCACAGCUUCCUCCCAGACAGGUCCAGGAAGAAAAUGUUUUCCUUUAGAGACUGCGCCAGCCUGAGUCAUGAUUCCCUCCCCUCUGUGAGGUGUUUGAAAAUGAAAUACAUUUUUUGAAAUCUCUAACAAUUUAUAAAAACUAAGUUCCUUGUUUCAGCCUAUAUAUGCAGAGAGAGAGACCGUAUGUAUUAGUCUGUUCCUAUGCUCCUAAUAAAGACAUACCUGAGACUGGGUAAUUUAUAAAG